AGACAGAAUCUGGCACCCCAGGAUGCAGGGCAGAACCUGCUGUAUCUUAAUUAGUCUUCCCCACGGGCUCACGCUCUGUAAUCAAGUCUGAGUCUCGAAGAUAUAAUGGAGCCCUGAAAGCACAGGUCAAUCUCAGCAGCAUAGGAGCUAAAAAAAAAAAGCAGCCAUUUUAUGUCCUGCUCCUUACAAAGUAGACCUUGCUAAAACCUGGACCCAGCGCCAAGCAAUUCAGUGUUACUCUGUACACUGUUACACCAAGCUGGGUGUAAAGUGCUCACCAGGAAGCAACUGACAGGCUCCAGAACACGGGGAAAUCCCGUGUGUUGAAUUUUGUAAGUUCUAACAACUCAAAAUAAUUCAGAGAACCAAAGAACCAGAACUAUAAAACGCUUUGAAAAAAAAAAAAAAAAACAACUAAAGACCAAACUCAAGAUACUAGAUUUGGUGGUGACCAAAAGCAGUCAACAAGAGAAAAGUCUAACUGGACUCCAGGGCUUAAUGAAAAUGAUUGGAAAAUGUUUGUGUAUCAAGGACACCAUCAGUCGGGGGUAAGGGCAGCCCGAAGGAUGGGGAGAGAUCUGGGACGAGGAUUUGGAAAGGGAUUGACAAACAGAACAAACAGAAUACAACAACAAAGAGGACAGAGAGUCCAUCUGGUUUGGUGGCAAGCACCUGUAAUUCCAGCACUCAGGAAGCUAAGGCAGGAGGAUUGCUGUGAGUCAAGGCUAGCCUAGGCUACAGAGUGAGACCCCGUCUCAACAGAGUAAAAACGAAAUGUG
rnacentral:lncRNA from 1 species